rnacentral:rRNA from 1 species
GACGAACGCUGGCGGCGUGCUUAACACAUGCAAGUCGAACGGGCCCGCUCUCUUUUUUGGGGGUGGGUUGAGUGGCGAACGGGUGAGUAUCACGUGAGUAACCUGCCCCCUGCUCCUGGAUAACUGCUUGAAAGGGCGGCUAAUACGGGGUGUGCCGGCUGGUCCGUAUGGGCCUGGUCGGGAUAGUUUCAUCUUCGGGUGUUUCGGUGGGGGAUGGGCUCGCGGCCUAUCAGCUUGUUGGUGGGGUGAUGGCCCACCAAGGCGGUGACGGGUAGCCGGCCUGAGAGGGUGGGCGGCCAGACUGGGACUGAGACACGGCCCAGACUCCGGCGGGAGGCAGCAGUGGGGGGUAUUGAACAAUGGGCGGAAGCCUGAUGCAGCGACGUCGCGUGAGGGAUGGAGGCCUUCGGGUUGUGAACCUCUUUCUCCGGUGGUGAAGGCCCUGUCCGUUGCGGCGGGGUUGACGGUAGCCGGGUAUGAAGCGCCGGCUAACUACGUG